rnacentral:rRNA from 1 species
GACGAACGCUGGCGGCGUGCUUAACACAUGCAAGUCGAACGGAAAGGCCCUGCUUUUGUGGGGUGCUCGAGUGGCGAACGGGUGAGUAACACGUGAGUAACCUGCCCUUGACUUUGGGAUAACUUCAGGAAACUGGGGCUAAUACCGGAUAGGAGCUCCUGCUGCAUGGUGGGGGUUGGAAAGUUUCGGCGGUUGGGGAUGGACUCGCGGCUUAUCAGCUUGUUGGUGGGGUAGUGGCUUACCAAGGCUUUGACGGGUAGCCGGCCUGAGAGGGUGACCGGACACAGGGGGACGGAGAUACGGACCAGACUCCGACGGGAGGCAGGAGGGGGGAAUAUGGCAGAAGGGGCGGAAGCCUGAUGCAGCAACGCCGGGUGCGGGAUGACGGGCUUCGGGGUGUAAACCGCUUUCGCCUGUGACGAAGCGUGAGGGACGGUAAUGGGUAAAGAAGCACCGGCUAACUACGUG